UGCAGAAUCCCGUGAACCAUCGAGUCUUUGAACGCAAGUUGCGCCCGAAGCCUUUAGGCCGAGGGCACGCCUUCCUGGGCGUCA
rnacentral:rRNA from 1 species